CAACCCUCGAGCCCCCCGGGCUUGGUGUUGGGGACCGGCCUCGCGCCGCCCCCGAAAUGCAGUGGCGACCUCGCCGCAGCCUCCCCUGCGCAGUAGCACAACCUCGCACCGGAGCGCGGAGACGGUCACGCCGUAAAACGCCCAACUCUCCUAG
rnacentral:misc_RNA from 1 species